CAACAUAUCACAUAGCCAAAUCUAAAUAAGGAAUCAAAACAAGUCCAAAAAUAUAAAAAACUAAAAAUGCAUUUAACCCAAACAUAAUUAAUUAUAUUUGGGUAAAAAAGAAGACAAGUCUUAAGCAAACUUAGCUUCAUCUCUGCAUCAACAAGCAUUCAUCAAGGCAAUUAGAAGGUGUCUACAGCAGACAUAUCAAUGUUCUUACACUGAAAAAGGAUGAUAAUGUUUUCAAACCCUAUGAGUCUGUUUUUGCUCUUGUUCAGGCAUUUCGUAGACAUUGAUUAACCCUCUAGGACAAGAAAGAGAAACAAUGUUGAAGAUGAUUUGUGAAGUACAUAAUCAUUAAACUCAAAUUAUAGAAGCCUAACCAACCUGCAAACCGAAGAGGUACCACCAUGAUCCAACAACAUGGCCAGAUAGCAUAAAGGUAAAAAGAUUUAUGAAGAAACUCGCCCACGCUGACUCGAAGAUGAAUCCGGUUGGAGAAAUUAGCAUAGGGAGAAAUCUACACAAUCUGGGAAUGUACUGAGCAAGGAUGACAGCGCGCAAAAGAUUCUUUGCGUAAUUUGCUCCUGAUGUUCCCAAGUGUUUUGGUAAGACAAACAAUAUAAUCAUCUGCAAAUAUAAUUUACAUUACUUUAUUGUAGAUUGUUACUUGAGCAUCAAGAAAUUCACAUUAAACUGCCUGUUUGAAUUAUCUUAUUUGAGUUUAUCUAAUACUAUAAUCACU